AGGACGAACGCUGGCGGCGUGCUUAACACAUGCAAGUCGAACGAUGAAGCUGGAGCUUGCUCCGGUGGAUUAGUGGCGAACGGGUGAGUAACACGUGAGCAAUCUGCCCUUGACUCUGGGAUAACUGCGGGAAACUGUAGCUAAUACCGGAUACGACACCUUGGGGCAUCCCAGGGUGUGGAAAGAAUUUCGGUCAAGGAUGAGCUCGCGGCCUAUCAGCUAGUUGGUGAGGUAAUGGCUCACCAAGGCGACGACGGGUAGCCGGCCUGAGAGGGUGACCGGCCACACUGGAACUGAGAUACGGUCCAGACUCCUACGGGAGGCAGCAGUGGGGAAUAUUGCACAAUGGGCGCAAGCCUGAUGCAGCAACGCCGCGUGAGGGAUGAAGGCCUUCGGGUUGUAAACCUCUUUUAGCAGGGAAGAAGCGAAAGUGACGGUACCUGCAGAAAAAGCACCGGCUAACUACGUG
rnacentral:rRNA from 1 species